rnacentral:tRNA from 1 species
AGGGGCGAACCUAGGAUCAAGGACUUAAAAUCCGUACAGUGUGGGUUCGAGUCCCACCGCCCCUA